rnacentral:rRNA from 1 species
CCAGCUUGCUGGAUGCUGACGAGCGGCGGACGGGUGAGUAAUGCAUAGGAAUCUGCCCGAUAGUGGGGGAUAACCUGGGGAAACCCAGGCUAAUACCGCAUACGUCCUACGGGAGAAAGGGGGCUCCGGCUCCCGCUAUGGGAUGAGCCUAUGUCGGAUUAGCUAGUUGGUGAGGUAACGGCUCACCAAGGCCACGAUCCGUAGCUGGUCUGAGAGGAUGAUCAGCCACAUCGGGACUGAGACACGGCCCGAACUCCUACGGGAGGCAGCAGUGGGGAAUAUUGGACAAUGGGGGAAAGCCUGAUCCAGCCAUGCCGCGUGUGUGAAGAAGGCCCUCGGGUUGUAAAGCACUUUCAGCGAGGAAGAACGCCUAGCGGUUAAUACCCGCUAGGAAAGACAUCACUCGCAGAAGAAGCACCGGCUAACUCCGUGCCAGCAGCCGCGGUAAUACGGAGGGUGCAAGCGUUAAUCGGAAUUACUGGGCGUAAAGCGCGCGUAGGUGGCUUGAUAAGCCGGUUGUGAAAGCCCCGGGCUCAACCUGGGAACGGCAUCCGGAACUGUCAAGCUAGAGUGCAGGAGAGGAAGGUAGAAUUCCCGGUGUAGCGGUGAAAUGCGUAGAGAUCGGGAGGAAUACCAGUGGCGAAGGCGGCCUUCUGGACUGACACUGACACUGAGGUGCGAAAGCGUGGGGUAGC